rfam:Asian citrus Psyllid, Diaphorina citri - Florida Strain, whole genome shotgun sequence.
ACUCCCAUGGCGUAGUGGUCACUGCGCUCGCCUUGCACGCGGGAGACCCGGGUUCGAUUCCCGGCGGGGUCA